UAUGGCAGAUUAGUGCAUUGGACUUAAAAUCCUUUAAUAAAGAUUUAUCUUUUAUUAAAA
rnacentral:tRNA from 1 species